AAAUGUGAGGGCAAUCUGGCUGCAACAUUAGUCACCCUGCUGAUUGCCACGAUGGACUUGGCUGUUAUGACUGGCUAGGCAGGUGUCCUCUUCCUCACUCACCACUCCAUGUACACCCCUCCUGAAGCUGCGUGCUAGGUUUAAAAGGAUGACUGUCCCCGCUAACGGAGAACCAUUCUUAGGUCAAGGGUACAUGAGUAGCUGCACUCUCUGCUAGAACCUCCAAACAAGCUCUCAAAAUGUUGUCCCCAGAUCACCAGUAUUAGCUGGAAUAGUGUCUAAGGAUACAUGAAAAUUCAGGGCCUACUACACAAAGCAGGAAUGAAGUAUUCU
rnacentral:snRNA from 1 species